rnacentral:rRNA from 1 species
CCACAUUGGGACUGAGAUACGGCCCAGACUCCUACGGGAGGCAGCAGUGGGGAAUAUUGGGCAAUGGGCGCAAGCCUGACCCAGCAACGCCGCGUGAAGGAAGAAGGCUUUCGGGUUGUAAACUUCUUUUAAGUGGGAAGAGUAGAAGACGGUACCACUUGAAUAAGCCACGGCUAACUACGUGCCAGCAGCCGCGGUAAUACGUAGGUGGCAAGCGUUGUCCGGAUUUACUGGGUGUAAAGGGCGUGCAGCCGGGCAUGCAAGUCAGAUGUGAAAUCUCAGGGCUUAACCCUGAAACUGCAUUUGAAACUGUAUGUCUUGAGUGCCGGAGAGGUAAUCGGAAUUCCUUGUGUAGCGGUGAAAUGCGUAGAUAUAAGGAAGAACACCAGUGGCGAAGGCGGAUUACUGGACGGUAACUGACGGUGAGGCGCGAAAGCGUGGGGAGCGAACAGGAUUAGAUACCCUGGUAGUCCACGCUGUAAACGAUGGAUACUAGGUGUGCGGGGACUGACCCCCUGCGUGCCGCAGUUAACACAAUAAGUAUCCCACCUGGGGAGUACGAUCGCAAGGUUGAAACUCAAAGGAAUUGACGGGGGCCCGCACAAGCGGUGGAUUAUGUGGUUUAAUUCGAAGCAACGCGAAGAACCUUACCAGGUCUUGACAUCCUGCUAACGAAGUAGAGAUACAUUAGGUGCCCUUCGGGGAAAGCAGAGACAGGUGGUGCAUGGUUGUCGUCAGCUCGUGUCGUGAGAUGUUGGGUUAAGUCCCGCAACGAGCGCAACCCCUAUUGUUAGUUGCUACGCAAGAGCACUCUAGCGAGACUGCCGUUGACAAAACGGAGGAAGGUGGGGACGACGUCAAAUCAUCAUGCCCCUUAUGACCUGGGCUACACACGUAAUACAAUGGCGGUCAACAAAGGGAUGCAAAGCCGCGAGGCAGAGCGAACCCCAAAAAGCCGUCCCAGUUCGGAUCGCAGGCUGCAACCCGCCUGCGUGAAGUCGGAAUCGCUAGUAAUCGUGGGUCAGCAUACCACGGUGAAUACGUUCCCGGGCCUUGUACACACCGCCCGUCACACCAUGAGAGUCGGGAACACCCGAAGUCCGUAGCCUAACCGUAAGGAGGGCGCGGCCGAAGGUGGGUUCGAUAAUUGGGGUGAAGUCGUAACAAGGUAGCCGUUCGAGAACGAGCGGCUG